AUCUCCUGCAUCUUCAUCUCCUCCCCACUAAUACCCACCAUCUUCUGUUGCUGCUGUUGCCACUGCUGAUUCUGAUUCUGAUGGACAUGUUCAAAACACUUAAAAUUCAUUAUGUUACCGAAUCCAAUUGGCAACUGCUCGUUCGUAGAGGUAAUUAAGCUUGUGAAGCUUCCAAUCUCUGAGAAGAUCCCGCAGUCGGCUCCUUGCUCUAGCAAACCAGGCUCAAAGCUAUGUGAAAAUAGCUUAGAUUCACCAAUACCAUUCAAUACAUUAUUAGAAGCAGAGCUCGAAGAAUGCGCAGAAACUGCUUCUAAACCAUUGUUAGCCGUUGUCGUAUUUGUGGCUGUCAGACUGGAGCUUUCGCUGCUAGAAUGAGAAUUUGAUGAUCUCCGCUCUCGUUGUUGUUGUUGUUGCUGUUGCUGCUGC
rnacentral:misc_RNA from 1 species